rnacentral:lncRNA from 1 species
UGAAAAUGAAAAGAGACGUGUUUUGAAAGUGGUUUUGUUAUUUGCCGCCAAAAAUAAAAAUAAAAAAAGAGUCCUAUUUUAAAAUAGUUCAAUUAAUUGGCAACCACACUGGUUUGAUUCUCACAGGGUGUGAGUAUAUAGGCAACCCUCAUCGGGUCCAACCUCCAUUUUGCUAAAAAAAUGCCAAAUUUUUAAUUUUCGUCAUAAGGAAGUGAGGUGAUGUUGUUUACGUCAAAAAUAGCUGAAUGUUCCCGAAAGGGACGCCGGAAGGCUAACUUUGCAUAAACAGCUCAUUUUUAGGAUUUUAGCCAGUUAGUUAACGCAGCCUCAGAAUAUUCGUCCCUGAGGCGCUGAAAGGCCGUUUUUGCAAAUAUCUGGUUUUCUAUUUUCGAUAAAAAAUAAGAAAUGAUCCAUAAAUAAGUCGGUGAUGCUGUUUUUGCCGUAUACAGCGGAAUGUUCCCGAAAGGGACGCCGGAAGACUGACUUUGCAUAAACGGCCACCUUUGGUCAAUGUUUUUAGAUUUUGGUCGAUUGACCCACACAGCCUUAGAAUCUUCGUCCCCGAGGCGCUGAAAGGCCGU